AUCCAACUGACGAGUCCCAAAUAAAAAGAAACGCGUUUUCUGGAU
rnacentral:hammerhead_ribozyme from 1 species